rnacentral:lncRNA from 1 species
UUCUUAGUAUUAUUUUUAUUUUAGUCGGAUUAAUAAAGAACGUGGAUUUAAUUUAUUUCUUAUACAAAUAAAUCAAUAAUAAAAUUAUAUUUCAAUAUAUGUUAAAGAAGCAUAUAUUUUACUCCUAUUAAUAAAGAAGCAUAUUUCUCUAUUAUAUAUAAUAUUAUUUGCCAUUAAAAAAAAUAUUACAAACAAUGAAUUGGUCCAAGUGGUAAGGGUUUUGGUCCCCUUAAGCAUCUGGUCAGGCGUCAGGGGUUCGAUUCCUGGCUCUUGCGUGUGGAAAAAAUUCAGUUGGAAGGGGAGAACCAACAUUGUGUGCCCCACAACUUCCCCGACAGAGAUUAGUAAUCACUAACAAUGGAACUUCGUAUCAAUAUUAUGGUAAAAAAAAAUUAAAAAAAAAAAUCAUAUUUCUGGUUUUGAGAAUGUAAUUUUCCUAAGCUAAUUUUUAGGAAGAGAGUAUUUAUUUCAUUUUUCAAUUUAAAUGCACUUGUUUGUGAUCUUAAAUACUCCUUCCGGCCUCAUAUAUAAGCAAAAGUUACUUUUUAGAUUCACUAGAACAUCGACCCGUACGGUGCACGGGUGUGAUUAGCUGUAAGAUAUAUAAUGAUUAAAUAAGAUAUGAUAAUUUCAAUAAUGUAAGGUAUAUGAAAAAAGUUGUGUAACAUUAAACGAUAGUUCACCAAUAAUUUUGGAAAAAUAUUCACACAAAGAAAAUUAUGUUAUAUUACGGAAGACUUCCUUAUAGACCACAUUCGAAGUCUUAGCCGUAUCUUCACCGUCGUCAUCGAUGAUCAAUAUUUUUAAUCUUUUACUAGAAGUAACUCUUGAAAUUGCAACAUACAACUGACCAUAUGAAAACUGAUGACGGAUCGUCACACUCUCUAAUCCAUGCCUAUUUUAGCAACAUUAAAUGCUUUUUAGUAGGUUUUUAGCAAUAAAUAUAAGAGAAAUCUAAUCAGAAACUUGAUUACUCACUACAAGAAAAUGGAUUUUUUGCAUGGACAAUAGUCGUUGGCAAAUGUAAAAAGUUGAUGGAAAAGAGUUUUAUACCAACAACCAAAAAGUCGCUGCAGGCUGUUGCGAUAAGUUCCGUUGCAAAAAGUUUUGC